GAUGAACGCUGGCGGCGUGCUUAACACAUGCAAGUCGAACGGGAAACCUUUUAUUGAAGCUUCGGCAGAUUUAGCUGGUUUCUAGUGGCGGACGGGUGAGUAACGCGUGGGUAACCUGCCUUAUACAGGGGGAUAACAACCAGAAAUGGUUGCUAAUACCGCAUAAGCGCACAGGACCGCAUGGUCCGGUGUGAAAAACUCCGGUGGUAUAAGAUGGACCCGCGUUGGAUUAGCUAGUUGGCAGGGUAACGGCCUACCAAGGCGACGAUCCAUAGCCGGCCUGAGAGGGUGAACGGCCACAUUGGGACUGAGACACGGCCCAGACUCCUACAGGAGGCAGCAGUGGGGAAUAUUGCACAAUGGGGGAAACCCUGAUGCAGCGACGCCGCGUGAAGGAAGAAGUAUCUCGGUAUGUAAACUUCUAUCAGCAGGGAAGAUAGUGACGGUACCUGACUAAGAAGCCCCGGCUAACUACGUG
rnacentral:rRNA from 1 species